CCGGGUCGUGGGCGGGCUCUGCCGGCUGGGGGUGUCUGUUGGCUCCCCCCACCCCGCUUGUGGGGGCCCGGGCCUGCAGAUCUGUUAGGCCCGGGUGUCUGGGGUCCUCGGGCCGGGGCUCCUGCUCCUGCACCCGCUCUGCAGCGUCUGCGGAGGGCGAGAAGGCAAGGCGGCGUGGGGCUGGACCUCGACCUCCCCGGGGUUCUGUAAGCCGCACACCUAAUGUUUCCUGCAGACAUCUGCAAGCCUGCGCGAAGCCGGCACCGCAGCCAAGAGGGAGACACCCCGAGUCCCCCCACUGGCGCCGCCUGCUUUCCCUCGCCUCUUCCCCUCCAGGGCCGGCUCGAGGCUGCGGGCCCUGCCCUCAGCGCGAGCGACCUCUGCUCCCGUCCACACUGGCUGCUCUUGUCUGCGACCGACCGUCAGGAGAACUGAUGUGCCCGGACGCGUCCCUGAACCACGUGAAAACCUGGGGGGCCGUGACCCCUGACCCUGACUCUGAGGCACUGCCUCAGGGACCCCAAGAGCCAUCCUCGCAGACCCUGGGUGUGGGUGGUCUCUUCCACUCCGGACAUUCUACUAGGUGUAAUGGGUACUGAACUGUGAUUUUGACUCGGUUGCCCGGGUUGCCCUGGUGACUAAUGAUAUUUAGUUUGUUUGUUUUGAGACAGGGUCUUGCUAUGUGGUCCAGGCUGGCCUUAAACUCACUAUGUAACCCAGGCUGCUCUUGAAUUCACAGCAAUCUUCCUGCCUCAGCCUCCUGAGUGUUGGGAUGAACCCAUGCACCACCACACUUGGUUCAUCUGUUUAUUUGCCAGCCAUCUGAGAUUUUUGAAGUUUUUUUUUUUAAGCCAGAAAUGGAUGUUGGAUUUUGUUUUUUCUGCAUCACCUGAGACUCUUUCGCAGUCUGAUGGCAUGGUGAAUACCACUGACUCUAAGUGUUAACACAGCCUGUCUUCUCAGAGUAAAUGCCAGUUGGUCGUGAGGCAAUAUUUUGGGAUAUGGUUAAGUCAUACACAGCUGCUGAGGCUGCUGUUUUCUUGACAGAAUAUUUGUAGUCUGUGUCACCCAGGCAUUGUCAAUUUCAUCUAAGUUGUUGAAUUUAUCAGCAUAAAGUUCCCCUUAAUAUGCCCUUAUUGCCCUUUCAAUACCUAUAAAAUAUUAAAAUAUGAGUGAUGUCGCCUCUCUCAUUCCUGACUGGUAAUUCUUGGCUCUUUUUAAAUUGAUAAAUCAGGAUAGAAGUUUAUCAAGUUUAUUGAUCUUGCCAAAGAACUAAUUUGGAGCUUCAUUGAUUUCUCUACUGUUUCACUUUAUGUUUGUUUUCAUUGACUUCUCUGAUCUUUAUUCUUUCUUUUGCUUAUUUCCAUCAGUUUAACUUUGUCUUCUUUUUCUGGCUUCUCCAACUGGAAGCCAAGAUCACUGACCUACAUCAGUGCUAUGAGCUUCCCUCAAAGUCCUACUUUAACUGCAUCCCAGGAAUUUUGAU
rnacentral:lncRNA from 1 species